AUGGAGGGGGAGGAGAAGCCGGUGGUGGGCGGGGCCUACUGGGGCGUGGGCGCGAGGGCCUGCGACUCGUGCGCCACCGAGGCGGCCAGGCUCUUCUGCCGCGCCGACGCCGCGUUCCUCUGCGCCGGCUGCGACGCGCGCGCGCACGGCGCCGGGUCGCGCCACGCCCGGGUCUGGCUCUGCGAGGUCUGCGAGCACGCGCCCGCGGCCGUCACGUGCAAGGCCGACGCCGCCGUGCUCUGCGCCUCCUGCGACGCCGACAUCCACGCCGCCAACCCGCUCGCGCGCCGACACGAGCGCGUCCCCGUCGCGCCCUUCUUCGGCACGGCCGCCGACGCGCACAAGCCCUUCGUGUCGUCGGGAGCCCAGGCCGCUGCCGAGGACGACGGGAGCAACGACGCCGAGGCGGCGUCGUGGCUGCUCCCCGAGCCCGAUCACAAGGAUGGUGCUACCGCGGAAGUCUUCUUCGCGGAUUCCGACCAUUACCUCGACCUCGACUUCGCGCGGUCAAUGGACGACAUCAAGGCCAUCAGCGUGCAGCUCAACGGCCAGCCCGAGAUCGACCUCAACGGCGGCAACAAAGGCUUCUACUCCGACCACUCCAUGAACCACAGCGUAUCGUCGUCUGAGGCGGCGGUGGUGCCCGACGCGGCGGUGGCGCCGGUGGUGAGCCGGGGGAGGGAGCGGGAGGCGCGGCUGAUGCGGUACAGGGAGAAGCGCAAGAGCCGGCGGUUCGAGAAGACCAUCCGGUACGCGUCCCGCAAGGCGUACGCCGAGACGCGGCCCCGCGUCAAGGGCCGGUUCGCCAAGCGCACGGGCACGGCGGACGCCGACGGCCUGGAGGAGCACGAGGAGAUGUACUCCUCAGCCGCGGCCGCCGUCGCCGCGCUCAUGGCGCCAGGCCCCGACCACGACUACGGCGUUGACGGCGUGGUGCCGACCUUGGUGUGA
rnacentral:rRNA from 1 species